CAUUGGUUGCCGCGCUGCGGCAACCUCCGCAUGUCUCCUCCACCCUCCUCCUAAGGUGGAUUAAGCCCGAACCAGCCGUUCGGGCUUUUUUUCG
rnacentral:sRNA from 1 species